rnacentral:rRNA from 1 species
UCCGGUUGAUCCUGCCGGACCCCACUGCUAUCGGGGUGGGACUAAGACAUGCUAGUCGUGCGCCUCCAAGCCACGGUGGAGGCGCGGCGCACAGCUCAGUAACACGUGGCUAACCUACCCUUGGGACAGGGACAACCCCGGGAAACUGGGGCUAAUCCCCGAUAGGUGAGGACUCCUGGAAUGGGUCCUCGCUGAAAGGGCGUCUAGACCAUGCUUCUAGACGCUGCCCAAGGAUGGGGCCGCGGCCGAUCAGGUUGUUGGUGAGGUAACGGCUCACCAAGCCUAAGACCGGUACGGGCCGUGAGAGCGGGAGCCCGGAGAUGGACACUGAGACAAGGGUCCAGGCCCUACGGGGCGCAGCAGUCGCGAAACCUCCGCAAUACGCGAAAGCGUGACGGGGCCACCCCGAGUGCCGUCCGCUGAGGACGGCUUUUCCCCAGUGUAGACAGCUGGGGGAAUAAGGGGAGGGCAAGUCGGGUGUCAGCCGCCGCGGUAAUACCCGCUCCCCGAGUGGUGGGGACGCUUAUUGGGCCUAAAGCAUCCGUAGCCGGCUGGACAAGUCCCCUGUUAAAUCCAGCGAUUUAAUCGCUGGACUGCGGGGGAUACUGUCCAGCUAGGGGGCGGGAGAGGCCGGCGGUAUUCCCGGGGUAGGGGUGAAAUCUUAUAAUCCCGGGAGGACCACCAGUGGCGAAGGCUGCCGGCUGGAACGCGCCCGACGGUGAGGGAUGAAAGCUGGGGGAGCGAACCGGAUUAGAUACCCGGGUAGUCCCAGCUGUAAACGAUGCGGGCUAGGUGUUGGCACGGCUACAAGCCGUGUCAGUGCCGCAGGGAAGCCGUUAAGCCCGCCGCCUGGGGAGUACGGCCGCAAGGCUGAAACUUAAAGGAAUUGGCGGGGGAGCACCACAAGGGGUGGAGCUUGCGGUUUAAUUGGAGUCAACGCCGGG